GUAACAAGGUUUCCGUAGGUGAACCUGCGGAAGGAUCAUUACCUAGAGUUGUAGGCUUUGCCUGCUAUCUCUUACCCAUGUCUUUUGAGUACCUUCGUUUCCUCGGCGGGUUCGCCCGCCGAUUGGACAAUUUAAACCAUUUGCAGUUGCAAUCAGCGUCUGAAAAAACUUAAUAGUUACAACUUUCAACAACGGAUCUCUUGGUUCUGGCAUCGAUGAAGAACGCAGCGAAAUGCGAUAAGUAGUGUGAAUUGCAGAAUUCAGUGAAUCAUCGAAUCUUUGAACGCACAUUGCGCCCCUUGGUAUUCCAUGGGGCAUGCCUGUUCGAGCGUCAUUUGUACCUUCAAGCUCUGCUUGGUGUUGGGUGUUUGUCUCGCCUCUGCGCGUAGACUCGCCUCAAAACAAUUGGCAGCCGGCGUAUUGAUUUCGGAGCGCAGUACAUCUCGCGCUUUGCACUCAUAACGACGACGUCCAAAAGUACAUUUUUACACUCUUGACCUCGGAUCAGGUAGGGAUACCCGCUGAACUUAAGCAUAUCAAUAA
rnacentral:misc_RNA from 1 species